rnacentral:rRNA from 1 species
AGUGAACGCUGGCGGUAGGCCUAACACAUGCAAGUCGAACGGCAGCACAGUAAGAGCUUGCUCUUACGGGUGGCGAGUGGCGGACGGGUGAGGAAUACAUCGGAAUCUACUUUUUCGUGGGGGAUAACGUAGGGAAACUGACGCUAAUACCGCAUAUGACCUACGGGUGAAAGCAGGGGAUCUUCGGACCUUGCGCGAUUGAAUGAGCUGAUGUCGGAUUAGCUAGUUGGCGGGGUAAAGGCCCACCAAGGCGACGAUCCGUAGCUGGUCUGAGAGGAUGAUCAGCCACACUGGAACUGAGACACGGUCCAGACUCCUACGGGAGGCAGCAGUGGGGAAUAUUGGACAAUGGGCGCAAGCCUGAUCCAGCCAUACCGCGUGAGUGAAGAAGGCCUUCGGGUUGUAAAGCCCUUUUGUUGGGAAAGAAAAGCAGCAGGUUAAUACCCCGCUGUUCUGACGGUACCCAAAGAGUAAGCACCGGCUAACUUCGUG